CCUACGGGAGGCAGCAGUGAGGAAUAUUGGUCAAUGGACGAGAGUCUGAACCAGCCAAGUAGCGUGAAGGAUGACUGCCCUAUGGGUUGUAAACUUCUUUUAUAUGGGAAUAAAAUGUUCCACGUGUGGGAUUUUGUAUGUACCAUAUGAAUAAGGAUCGGCUAACUCCGUGCCAGCAGCCGCGGUAAUACGGAGGAUCCGAGCGUUAUCCGGAUUUAUUGGGUUUAAAGGGAGCGUAGGUGGAUUGUUAAGUCAGUUGUGAAAGUUUGCGGCUUAACCGUAAAAUUGCAGUUGAAACUGGCAGUCGUGAGUACAGUAGAGGUGGGCGGAAUUCGUGGUGUAGCGGUGAAAUGCUUAGAUAUCACGAAGAACUCCGAUUGCGAAGGCAGCUCACUGGACUGCAACUGACACUGAGGCUCGAAAGUGUGGGUAUCAAACAGGAUUAGAUACCCCAGUAGUC
rnacentral:rRNA from 1 species